UCUUAUCUAGAGAAAUGGAGGGAAAGGCCUGAUGAAGUUUCAGCAACCAGCAAUGAUGCAAGGUGCUAAGUCCUACAGAGUAAUGCUCUGACAGAUAAGA
rnacentral:ncRNA from 1 species